GCUUGAGUGGCCAAGUGGUAAGGCGUCGCACUUGUAUUAACUUGCAAUGCGAAGAUCCAUGGUUCGACUCCGUGCUUGAGCA